rnacentral:lncRNA from 1 species
CCGAGCUGCUCGCCCGCAACGGCGUCAAGUUCGGCGAGGCCGUCUGGUUCAAGGCCGGCUCCCAGAUCUUUAGCGAGGGCGGCCUCGACUACCUCGGCAACCCCAGCCUUAUCCAUGCGCAGAGCAUCCUCGCCAUCUGGGCCUGCCAGGUCGUGCUCAUGGGCGCCGUCGAGGGCUACCGCAUUGCCGGCGGCCCACUCGGCGAGGUCGUCGACCCGCUCUACCCCGGCGGCAGCUUCGACCCCCUCGGCCUGGCCGACGACCCUGAGGCCUUCGCCGAGCUCAAGGUCAAGGAGCUCAAGAAUGGCCGCCUCGCCAUGUUCUCCAUGUUCGGAUUCUUCGUCCAGGCCAUCGUCACCGGCAAGGGCCCGCUCGAGAACCUGGCCGACCACCUCGCCGACCCAGUCAACAACAACGCCUGGGCCUACGCCACCAACUUCGUCCCCGGCAACUAAGCUCGCCAUUCGCCUCUGCAACUCCAUUGUCUUCCGGCCGGGAGGGGCGUACGUGGAUUGGUUGAUGCUGCAAGCGAGCUGCCGCAUGCGUGUCUUGUUUCACGUUGCAUUUCAGGGGCAAGUCGAGAUGAUGAGUCGGCGUUGUACACUAAGAUGAUGUUUGUGCAAUAGUAGUGGUUUUGUUCCCUGGUGGUUAACCUUUGAUUUGUCUGAUUAAGGGCAU